GUCACUUAACGGCCUUUUAGUGAUCGGACGGCAGUAUAUUAAACUGAUUUUUGUAAAGCGACGGGAUGUUCGGAGCUCGCUCCACUCCCGUCACGGGUCGGCCCGGCAUUGCAGUGCCGCCGGGAUCGGCCCACAGAAA
rnacentral:snRNA from 1 species